rnacentral:pre_miRNA from 1 species
UUAUUACUCCCUCCGUCUGAAAUACUUGUCGCAGAAAUGGAUAAAAACAGAUGUAUCUAAAACUAAAAUACGACUAGAUACAUCCAUUCCUCCGACAAGUAUUUCUGGACGGAGGGAGUACUAA